AGGAAAUAAAAACGCACGCUUUCAACAAAAACAGAACACUCCUUCCACGCUUUCAACAAAAACAGAAUAGGCCUUCUUCAAACACAAUAACAUGAUUCAAUUAAUUAAAGUAUAACACACUUUUGAACGAAUACACUCUUAAACUACCUCCAGUAAAAAUGGAAGAAAUGGGUCUCUCGUGUUACCUUCAGUAAAAAUGGAAAAAAUUGGUUUCACAUACAAAACAAAAUGAAGCCUAAAUAAAAAUAAAGAGGGACGAAAUACAUGCCUUUAAAGAGUUAAAGGCAGAGAUGAAGGCCAUGCGCGGUGGGUUUUUUGAGGAUGACGUUGAAGGAGGUAUCAGUUGCAGUUCUCUUCUCUCGUUCUCAUCUAGGCUCAAGUUUUUUAUUUGAUUUUUGUUAGUUGUGUUAUUAAAAUGUGUUUGGAUUUUUCAUGGUUAUUUAUUUGAUGAAUGAAGAUAGUGA
rnacentral:lncRNA from 1 species